CAGUCGCCGCGGGAAUACGUAGGGUGCAAGCGUUAAUCGGAAUUACUGGGCGUAAAGCGUGCGCAGGCGGUUAUAUAAGACAGAUGUGAAAUCCCCGGGCUCAACCUGGGAACUGCAUUUGUGACUGGCGAGCUAGAGUAUGGCAGAGGGGGGUAGAAUUCCACGUGUAGCAGUGAAAUGCGUAGAGAUGUGGAGGAAUACCGAUGGUGAAGGCAGCCCCCUGGGCCAAUACUGACGCUCAUGCACGAAAGCGUGGGGAGCAAACAGGAUUAGAUACCCCCGUAGUCCCUGUCUCUUAUAC
rnacentral:rRNA from 1 species